rnacentral:rRNA from 1 species
GGCAGCAGCCGCGGUAACACCGGCGGCCCGAGUGGUGAUCGUGAUUAUUGGGUCUAAAGGGUCCGUAGCCGGUUUGGUCAGUCCUCCGGGAAAUCUGAUAGCUCAACUAUUAGGCUUUCGGGGGAUACUGCCAGACUUGGAACCGGGAGAGGUAAGAGGUACUACAGGGGUAGGAGUGAAAUCUUGUAAUCCCUGUGGGACCACCUGUGGCGAAGGCGUCUUACCAGAACGGGUUCGACGGUGAGGGACGAAAGCUGGGGGCACGAACCGGAUUAGAUACCCGGGUAGUCCCAGCCGUAAACGAUGCUCGCUAGGUGUCAGGCAUGGCGCGACCGUGUCUGGUGCCGCAGGGAAGCCGUGAAGCGAGCCACCUGGGAAGUACGGCCGCAAGGCUGAAACUUAAAGGAAUUGGCGGGGGAGCACAACAAACGGGGUGGAGCCUGCGGUUUAAUUGGACUCAACGCCGGACAACUCACCGGGGGCGACAGCAAUAUGUAGGCCAAGCUGAAGACUUUGCCCGAAUCGCUGAGUAGUGGUGCAUGG